AUGGGCACUCUAGGGUGACUGCCGGUGACAAACCGGAGGAAGGUGGGGAUGACGUCAAAUCAUCAUGCCCCUUAUGACCUGGGCUACACACGUACUACAAUGGCUGGUACAACGGGAAGCGAAGCCGCGAGGUGGAGCCAAUCCUAAAAAGCCAGUCUCAGUUCGGAUUGCAGGCUGCAACUCGCCUGCAUGAAGUCGGAAUUGCUAGUAAUCGCGGAUCAGCAUGCCGCGGUGAAUACGUUCCCGGGUCUUGUACACACCGCCCGUCACACCACGAGAGUUUACAACACCCGAAGUCGGUGGGGUAACCGCAAGGA
rnacentral:rRNA from 1 species